GUAGGUGGCAAGCGUUGUCCGGAUUUACUGGGCGUAAAGAGCGCGCAGGCGGUCGUUCAAGUCGCGUGUGAAAGCCCCCGGCUCAACUGGGGAGGGUCACGCGCUACUGAUCGACUGGAAGGCAGGAGAGGGUAGUGGAAUUCCCGGUGUAGUGGUGAAAUGCGUAGAUAUCGGGAGGAACACCAGUGGCGAAGGCGACUAUCUGGCCCGUUCUUGACGCUGAGGCGCGAAAGCUAGGGGAGCAAACGGGAUUAGAUACCCCGGUAGUCCUAGCCGUAAACGAUGGACACUAGGUGUUGGUGGUAUCAACCCCGCCAGUGCCGAAGCUAACGCAUUAAGUGUCCCGCCUGGGGAGUACGGCCGCAAGGCU
rnacentral:rRNA from 1 species